UGGCCAGAAUCAUCCCAGCUUUGAUGCCCCACCUCCUGAAAGUCAACCAGGAGAGGUUCCAUUAUACUGAACUGCUUACCUAGGAAUCCAUUCAG